AUUUCAGCGAAAAACGUAAUUAAACUCAUUAGAAAAUUUUGAUGUCACAAAUAUAUUUCCUAAAUAAUAAUACUGAGAAUUUUUGGAAUUUCUACACAAAUUAUUGCCCGGUAAACUAUAAAAUUAAAACAAAAAAUUUGGAAAUAAUUUAGAAUCCUGCAAAUUUCUUUAAUAAUUUGGAUCAAAAUGUACAAUGCGACUGGACUAAGGACAUUAACAACAUCAACAACAUCAGAACCAUCAACACGUAGUGGAAGUAAUUUUACAAAAAAAUUACUAAUAGGUUUAGGAAUAGUGAUUGCUAUAUUCUUUUUGUGCUGCUGUUGCAUUUUGCUAAUACUGUGCAGCCCUGUUCUUGGACUCAUGAGUUGUUGUGCUAUGUGUUGCGAUCCUGAUGAGGAUCUAUUUUAAUCUUUCGCUUAAUAAGGCGUUGAGAAUUCCAUACAAACCAUUGUGUUAUCUGUAUUAACCUGGAUAUGUCUGUACCUGGAUCUUAAUAUCUAUACAAGAAAAUAUAUAGUUGUUAUAGCUGCACGUA